rnacentral:misc_RNA from 1 species
GAUGAAGAACGCAGCGAAAUGCGAUAAGUAAUGUGAAUUGCAGAAUUCAGUGAAUCAUCGAGUCUUUGAACGCACAUUGCGCCCCCUGGUAUUCCGGGGGACAUGCCUGUCCGAGCGUCAUUGCUGCCCUCAAGCACGGCUUGUGUGUUGGGCCUCCGUCCUCCUCCCGGGGGACGGGCCCGAAAGGCAGCGGCGGCACCGCGUCCGGUCCUCGAGCGUAUGGGGCUUCGUCACCCGCUCUUGUAGGCCCGGCCGGCGCUUGCCGACACAUCAAUCUUUUUUCCAGGUUGACCUCGGAUCAGGUAGGGAUACCCGCUGAACUUAAGCAUAUCAAUAAGCGGAGGA